rnacentral:rRNA from 1 species
CCUACGGGGGACUGCAGUGAGGAAUAUUGGUCAAUGGCCGGAAGGCUGAACCAGCCAUGCCGCGUGAAGGUCAGUGCCCUAUGGGCGUUAAACUUCUUUUGUGCGGGAGCAAUAAUGGUCACGUGUGGCCAGACGAGAGUACCGUACGAAUAAGCAUCGGCUAACUCCGUGCCAGCAGCCGCGGUAAUACGGGGGAUGCAAGCGUUAUCCGGAUUUAUUGGGUUUAAAGGGUGCGUAGGCUGUGAGGGAAGUCAGCGGUGAAAUGCCCCCGCUCAACGGGGUGAAGUGCCAUUGAUACUGCCUGGCUGGAAUGCGGAUGCCGUGGGAGGAAUGUGUGGUGUAGCGGUGAAAUGCAUAGAUAUCACACAGAACACCGAUUGCGAAGGCAUCUCACGAAUCCGCGAUUGACGCUGAUGCACGAAAGCGUGGGUAUCAAACAGGAGUAGAUACCCGGGUAGUC